ACAGCUGACCUAUUCAGAAGGUAUCCCGUUUCGCCGUCACUCUCAGUUUGUCACCGUGCCUCCAGCGUCGGGCCUCCGUGCGUGGCGCUCCUCCGCUUCGCUGUGCCACCACGACUCUCUCUCUCUCUCUCUCUGCACUCUGCCUCAGUCUCCCUCUGUUCCACCGCUCCCCUCCACUCCACUGCUCCUCCAGUCCUCUUCAGCCUCCAGCCCACGGGUUCUCUCUCUCUGGCACGGACCCUUUCCAUCUCAGCCUCUCUCCUAUACCAUCGAGGCGUCGACGGCCCUUUCUAUACUCAACGGUGACGGACUAACGGUGUCGAAUAACCUUGAAGUCUCGAACUUGGUUGCUCUCUUCCUCAAGCAGCAAAGCAGAAAGCCAGAAACUGUUGGUUACACUAUGGGUUCGAUUUCUGGGUUUUCACUUACAUUCUGGGUUUCACUCUUCAAACUUAGUUAGUUGUUGAAAUCAAGCUUGGUAAGUUGCUGGGUAUUGUAUAUUUGUAUGAAUGUAUAAUCAAAUUGUAUGAUUAAAAUCAUUAAAUUGAUUGAGCUUCAGGUUGCUGCAUUUCUGAAUAUCUCCAUUAGUUGAUCGAGCUGUUGCCUGUUGCCUUGUUGAUAAGUUGGUUUAUUGGCUGUUUUGAUUGAGCUAUUUUGCCGUUAUUUGUAUAUAUGUAUUGGUCCUGUAUCUGUUUUGAAAUUUGGCAUCUGUUUUGCCAGUUUUGGAUGGUAACUGAAUUGCAAACAGUUUGGUAAUUUGGAUGGGAAUUGCAAUCAGAGUGUUCGAAUGAUUGUGGAAACUAUUUGUAGAAUUGUUUGUACUUCCAUUACCGAAAAUUAUUUGUACUUCAAGUUUUCUGAUCCUAUUUUCAAAUGGUUUUAGAUAGAUUACAAGUUGCAUUUCUUUUCAUUUGUACAUGAACUGUGUUCAGGUUUCAUGCACUCUGUGCAUUAUCAGUAAUCUAAUUUAUAGCAUGUCCGAUUGAAAGAAAUUGAUUAAACAUCUUUCAUCUUUGCGAACUUGUCCAGCAUGCCAUUAUGGAGCCUCCAAGUAACUACUCAUAUACACACUGGGAUAAGUGUAAUUACAAUUUAUAUUAAGUUUCUAUUAUUACAAGAUUUUAUUUUCUCACAGCUUCAGUGGUUCAGAGGUUGACUAUAUCCACCAUAUUGUUCGAAAAGGGUCUCCAGAAGAGCAGCAGUUUCAUCUUUCUGUCCCUGAAAAGAAUGAGGUUAAAAGAUGAAAACUGUUAUGGGCACUUUACCUCAUGAGAGAUCCAUUUUUCAGCAAGUAUACCAGGUAAAUGCAGAUGUUAUUUUAAAUAAAGAAUGUUUUCCACCCUCAUGUUUUUCCUUCCCCUCACAGAAAAGAUGAGAGAAACAAAAAAACCACUUUAGACUUGAUUCAAACCACUGAUAAGGGUGGGGUAAGUAAAGUGGUAGCUGACAGUCGCAUCUCUCGUAAUUUGAUAAUACGUUGCUGCUUUUUCUAGGAUUUAAUCAUUUGUUUCAUGACUCUUGUGGUUGAGAAUUUUAGGUCAAGACUUGAAGGCACCAAGAAAAUGUUGGAACAUAUACCUGUUGUUGGAUUUCUUGUAGGUUGAUUUUGUAGUUUAUUUUCUUCAUUUCUAAAUUGUCUUGUUACUUUAUGAAGUUGAGUUCUUUUAUGUAUUAAGAACUUGAUCUGGCAACAACAAAAUUUUUGGUUUGUGCAACAAAACUUGUUGAGCUUAUUUCAGGAGCACAGACAAGGUAUACUUACAUGUCGGGAUCAUAAGACGUGGU